GGGGAUUUGGCUCAGUGGUAGAGCGCUUGCCUAGGAAGCGCAAGGUCUUGGGUUCGGUCCCCAGCCCCG
rnacentral:tRNA from 1 species